rnacentral:tRNA from 1 species
AGCCUCGUAACUCAGCUGGUAGAGCGUGCGUUGUGCAAUAGCGUAGGCAGCGUCCAUGCGUGAGUUCGAAUCCCACCGAGGCUA